CAAGAAUAAAACUAAUUCACAUAUUACAAAGAGUAAUCGUGUUUUGUUUGAUACUUUUUGUAAUAUGUGAAUUUUUUCUUUUUCAAGAAAUAUGAUAUUAUUUAAUACAAUUAAUGGAGGUCAUUUAAAUGACACAACAAGGUACAGUAAAAUGGUUUAAUGCAGAAAAAGGUUUUGGUUUCAUCGAAGUAGAAGGCGGAAACGACGUAUUCGCUCACUUCUCAGCUAUCCAAGGUGAAGGUUUCAAAUCACUUGACGAAGGUCAAAAAGUUGAAUUUUCAGUAGAAGAUGGCCAACGUGGACCACAAGCUACAAACAUCGUAAAACUUUAAUUUUAAUGAUGUAAACAAAAAAAAGAGGCUUCCUUUCAUUAGGAAGCCUCUUUU
rnacentral:sRNA from 1 species